rnacentral:rRNA from 1 species
GCGACGAUGUCUAGGGGACCUGAGAGGGUGAUCCCCCACACUGGCACUGAGAUACGGGCCAGACUCCUACGGGAGGCAGCAGUAGGGCAUAUUGGGCAAUGGGCGAGAGCCUGACCCAGCCAUGCCGCGUGCCGGAUGAAGGCCUUCUGGGUUGUAAACGGCUUUUCUCAGGGAAGAAAAAGACCAUGCGUGGUACACUGACGGUACCUGAGGAAUAAGCACCGGCUAACUCCGUGCCAGCAGCCGCGGUAAUACGGAGGGUGCAAGCGUUGUCCGGAUUUAUUGGGUUUAAAGGGUGCGUAGGUGGCCUUGUAAGUCCGUGGUGAUAAGCCUCUCGCUUAACGAGAGAACUGCCAUGGAUACUGCAAGGCUUGAGUCCAGACGAGGUUGGCGGAAUGGAUGGUGUAGCGGUGAAAUGCAUAGAUACCAUCCAGAACCCCGAUUGCGUAGGCAGCUGACUAGGCUGGUACUGACACUGAGGCACGAGAAGCGUGGGGAGCGAACAGGAUUAGAUACCCUGGUAGUCCACGCCGUAAACGAUGGAUACUCGUUGCUAGCGAUAUACAGUUAGUGACUUAGCGAAAGCGUUAAGUAUCCCACCUGGGGAGUA